GAGGAGACGCUGGCGGCGUGCCUAACACAUGCAAGUCGAGCGGAGUCGAUCGACGGAAGCCUUCGGGCGGAAGAUGGUUGACUUAGCGGCGGAUGGGUGAGUAACGCGUGGGCAACCUGCCUCGAAGACCGGGAUAACAGCCCGAAAGGGCUGCUAAUACCGGAUGUGGUCAAGGAUCCGCAUGGAUUUUGAUUAAAGGGGAAACCCGUUUCGAGAUGGGCCCGCGUCCUAUCAGCUAGUUGGUGAGGUAAAAGCUCACCAAGGCGACGACGGGUAGCCGGCCUGAGAGGGUGACCGGCCACACUGGAACUGAGACACGGUCCAGACUCCUACGGGGGGCAGCAGUGGGGAAUCUUCCACAAUGGGCGAAAGCCUGAUGGAGCGACGCCGCGUGAGCGAAGAAGGCCUUCGGGUUGUAAAGCUCUGUCUGGAGGGACGAAGGAAGUGACGGUACCUCCGGAGGAAGCCACGGCUAACUACGUG
rnacentral:rRNA from 1 species